GUAGUCCACGCCGUAAACGAUGGAUACUAGCUGUUGGAGGUAUCGACCCCUUCAGUAGCGAAGCUAACGCGUUAAGUAUCCCGCCUGUGGAGUACGGUCGCAAGACUAAAACAUAAAGGAAUUGACGGGGACCCGCACAAGCGGUGGAUCGUGUUCUUUAAUUCGAUGAUAAACGAAGAACCUUACCAGGGUUUGACAUCCUUGGAAUUUCUGUGAAAGCAGAGAGUGCUUUAUUGAGCCAAGUGACAGGUGAUGCAUGGCCGUCGUCAGCUCGUGUCGUGAGAUGUUUGGUUAAGUCCAUCAACGAGCGCAACCCUUGUGAAUAGUUGUAUUUUUCUAUUCAGACUGCCCCGGUAACGGGGAGGAAGGAGGGGAUGAUGUCAGGUCAGUAUUUCCCUUACACCCUGGGCUAGAAACACGAUACAAUGGUUAGUACAAUGCGCAGCGAAGCCGCGAGGUGGAGCAAAUCGCAUCAAAGCUAAUCUCAGUUCGGAUAAGAGGCUGAAACUCGCCUCUUUGAAGUCGGAAUCGCUAGUAAUCGCAAAUCAGCAAGUUGCGGUGAAUACGUUCCCGGGUCUUGUACACACCGCCCGUCAAACCAUGAAAGUCACCAACACCCGAAGUCCGAUUCGUCGGCCUAAGGUGGGGGGGAUGAUUGGGGUU
rnacentral:rRNA from 1 species